rnacentral:rRNA from 1 species
UACGUAGGGUGCGGGCGUUAAUCGGAAUUACUGGGCGUAAAGCGUGCGCAGGCGGCUUUGCAAGACAGGUGUGAAAUCCCCGGGCUUAACCUGGGAAUGGCAUUGGUGACUGCACGGCUAGAGUGUGUCAGAGGGGGGUAGAAUUCCACGUGUAGCAGUGAAAUGCGUAGAUAUCCGGAGGAACACCGGUGGCGAAGGCGGCUUCCUGGACCGACACUGACGCUGAGGCGCGAAAGCUAGGGGAGCAAACGGG